UGAUCACGUCGAUGCGCUUGCAAUGG
rnacentral:piRNA from 1 species